GCAACCCGACUCCGUGAAGCUGGAUUCGCUAGUAAUCGCGCAUCAGCCAUGGCGCGGUGAAUACGUUCCCGGGCCUUGUACACACCGCCCGUCAAGCCAUGGGAGCCGGGGGGUGCUUGAAGUGCGUCGCCGCGAGGCGCGCCCUAGAGCAAAACCGGUGACUGGGGCUAAGUCGUAACAAGGUAAC
rnacentral:rRNA from 1 species